GUGAGGAAUUUUCCGCAAUGGGCGAAAGCCUGACGGAGCAAUGCCGCGUGAAGGAUGAAGGCCUAUGGGUUGUAAACUUCUUUUCUCAGAAAAGAAUUAUGACGGUAUCUGAGGAAUAAGCAUCGGCUAACUCUGUGCCAGCAGCCGCGGUAAGACAGAGGAUGCAAGCGUUAUCCGGAAUGAAUGGGCGUAAAGCGUCUGUAGGUUGUUUAAAAAGUAUUCUGUCAAAGAUUAGGGCUUAACCCUAGAUAGGCAGAAUAAACUUUUAAGCUAGAGUUUGGUAGAGGCAGAGGGAAUUCCCGGUGGAGCGGUGAAAUGCAUAGAUAUCGGGAGGAACACCAAAGGCGAAGGCACUCUGCUGGGCCAAUACUAACACUGAGAGACGAAAGCGAGGGGAGCAAAUGGGAUUAGAUACCCCUGUAGUCC
rnacentral:rRNA from 1 species